UUCUCAUUUUAUUUCAUUGAGUUGAUCUUCAAUCUCUGAUAUCCUUUCUUCUGCUUGGUCGAUUCAGCUAUCGAAGCUUGUGUACACUUCAUGAAAUUCUCAUGGUGUGUUUUUCAGCUCCAUCAAGUCGUUUAUAUUCUUCUCUAAGCUGUUUUUCUAGCUGGAAUUUUGUCAAAC